GCCAGCAUGGCGCAGUGGUUUGAUCGUUGGACUAUGACUCUGGAGACCAGGGUUCCAAUCCUUGAUCAGCCA